rnacentral:tRNA from 1 species
GCCCGGAUGGUGAAAUUGGUAGACACAAGGGACUUAAAAUCCCUCGGCGCAAGCCAUACCGGUUCAAGUCCGGUUCCGGGCACCA